rnacentral:lncRNA from 1 species
UGUAACUAAGUGCCACAGAGUGGAUAGCUUAAACAAUAGAAAUUUAUUUCUCAUAGUUCUGGAGGCUAGAAUUCCAAGAUCAAGGUGCCAGCAUGGUUUCUGGUGAGGGCCCACUUCCUGGCUCAUAGAUGGCCUCCUGUCUGCAUCCUCACAUGUCAGGUAGAGAGAGAGAGACAGCAAGCUCUCUCGCGUCUCUUCUUAUAAGGGCACGAACUUCAUCACAAGGACCUUAUCUAAACCAAAGGAACUUCCAAAGGCCCUGUCUCCAAAUACCAUCCCAUUGGGGGUUGGGGCUUCAACAUAUGAAUUUUGGGGGAACAUAAUUCAGUGCACAGCAGAUGUGGAAGCUGAGAUCUACGGAGAUCCUGUGGCUCAUCUAAGCAGAGGGGGACUUGUUCCUAGGUCUGAUAGCAUCUAAUCCAGGGCUCCUUGCCUUCUAAUGCACAGCUUUGACCUCCAGAACCACCCUGGGUCCUGCCUCCUUAGUCUCUUUUGUCCUUGUGAGAGCUGGGUGGGUUUAAGAAAGUAUUGGAAAAGGAGGCUGCCUUUCCCAAACAUUAUCAGGAGCAAUAUUAAUAAUUAUAUUAGACACAGCCCUCAUUUAUAGACCCCUGACUCAAGUCAGUGCCGUUCUAAGUUCACAUAUAAUAUUUCAUUUGCCCCUCACAAUGAUUCUAGGGAAACGUAUUCUCUCUUUUCUACUUUACAGAGCGAGUACAGAGGCAUCAUGCAAGGUCACACAGCUAUAAGUGGCACAGCUGGGGACUCACCCGGGCUGUCUGGCUCCCGAGUUUAUGCUCUUAAUCAGUACCACCUUAGGGAUGGGAUGGUCAACAACACAAUCAGGAGGUGGGUGAGGGUCAGCCCUCCCCUGAGCUGGGUGCACUGGAAUACACCUACCAUCCCCUGGUCAGGGCUCAGGCCAGCACAUGGGGCUGAUUUUGUGAAAAGUUGUAAGCAUAAGCAAAUAAUGGGUGUUUGCCAAGUUGAAGACAGGCAUAGAAUUGAAUCUUCUGUCUCUCCUAAUGUCAAAUAAUGAAGUAGACAGUCGUAUUCUUGGCAUAUUAUGAAUUUCUUGUUUUCUAGUUGGACAGAGAUCAAGGGUCUCUUGGUUUAGAAUCACAGGACCAAGGGAUAAUGCAAGGCCUGUUAAGACCUUUUGGUGCCAUUGGCCAGGACCACAUGGAGCAGGGGGUCAUUUUGGUAUUAAACAGUGACUGCUGGUCUAUCCUCUAGGGGGUGAUAAUCUCCCCUUCCUCUUCUUGAUGGACAUUUAUUCAAUAGUCACCAAGGAGAUUCAGCAAUCUGGGUGUCCUACAGCCUAGAUAUGCUGUCCUGUGUUGUUGAGGUUUAUGCCUGGACUUUGAUUGAUGCCAGCCCCUCCAAAGGCUCUUUCCACAGCUGUUGCUUCUGGUUGGAUGGUGCACUCACUGUGCUCAGCACCUCAGGAAGGGAUUGAGGGUUGUGAAUAGUGGAGAUGUGUAGGGAGAGUAGGGAAUAUGUUUCACUGCCAAUAUACAAGCAGUAUAUCAGAUUUGGGAAUUCUACUGGCAAGGGUUGAGUCUUUGCUUGUCACCGGGCUAAAAGUUGCUUCACCUUUCCAAACAUCAGCUUCCUCACUUACCAAGUAUAACCACUGCAUUGCAAGUUGUUGUCUCGAUUAAUUGAAGAUGCUUGCCAUACAGUAGGGACUCAACCAUGUUAGCUUCUCCCCCCAGAUGCUAGGGGCUGUGUGCUUUCAUGGAAAGAAAUGCUUCUGCUAGACUUAAUUGACAUCAUCUUUGGUGGGUCUUUUCUUUGCUUCUGACCACACGUCUUUUAAACUUGAGAUGCUUUUAUGCUUCCGGGUAACAAGCAAAAGUCAGGCCAAGGAGGAAGCAAAACUAGGAUUUAUUGGUGGGGGGUCAUGGAAUAGGGAUGUUAGAGAUUAGCAGAAAAGAACUGCAAUGAUUUAAAAAGGC